AUUGCCUCAGUAACGGCGAGUGAAGCGGCAACAGCUCAAAUUUGAAAUCUGGCUCCUUCGGGGUCCGAGUUGUAAUUUGUAGAGAGUGUUUCGGGUGAGGCCGCGGUCUAAGUCCAUUGGAACAUGGCGUCAUAGAGGGUGAGAAUCCCGUAUGUGACCGUGGAUCGAGCCCAUGUGAAGCCUCUUCGACGAGUCGAGUUGUUUGGGAAUGCAGCUCAAAAUGGGUGGUAAAUUUCAUCUAAAGCUAAAUACUGGCUGGAGACCGAUAGCGCACAAGUAGAGUGAUCGAAAGAUGAAAAGCACUUUGGAAAGAGAGUGAAACAGUACGUGAAAUUGUUGAAAGGGAAGCGCUUGCAACCAGACCUGCCCGUAGGCGAUCAGCCGCUGUUCUCAGUGGUGCACUCGCUCUGCGAUCAGGCCAGCAUCGGUUUCGGCGGCCGGAUAAAGGCCUUGGGAAUGUAGCUCUCUUUCGGGGGAGUCUUAUAGCCCUCGGUGCAAUGCGGCCAGCCGGGACCGAGGACCGCGCUUCGGCUAGGAUGCUGGCGUAAUGGUUGUAAGCGACCCGUCUUGAAACACGGACCAAGGAGUCUAACAUCUAUGCGAGUGUUUGGGUGUUAAACCCAUGCGCGGAAUGAAAGUGAACGGAGGUGAGAACCCUUAAGGGCGCAUCAUCGACCGAUCCAGAUGUCUUCGGAUGGAUUUGAGUAUGAGCAUAGCUGUUGGGACCCGAAAGAUGGUGAACUAUGCCUGAAUAGGGUGAAGCCAGAGGAAACUCUGGUGGAGGCUCGCAGCGGUUCUGACGUGCAGAUCGAUCGUCAAAUUUGGGCAUAGGGGCGAAAGACUAAUCGAACCAUCUAGUAGCUGG
rnacentral:rRNA from 1 species